rnacentral:tRNA from 2 species
CGCGGGUGGAGCAGCUUGGUAGCUCGUCGGGCUCAUAACCCGAAGGUCGUUGGUUCAAAUCCAGCCCCCGCAACCA